CUCGUAGGUGGCCAACUAAGUCAGACGUGAAAUCCCCCAGCUUAACUGGGGAACUGCGUCUGAUACUGGAUGGCUUGAGUUUGGGAGAGGGAUGCGGAAUUCCAGGUGUAGCGGUGAAAUGCGUAGAUAUCUGGAGGAACACCGGUGGCGAAGGCGGCAUCCUGGACCAAUACUGACACUGAGGAGCGAAAGCCAGGGGAGCAAACG
rnacentral:rRNA from 1 species